rnacentral:misc_RNA from 1 species
UGCGGGGGGACUUUUCGGGGGUGCGACGAGCAGGGGAUUCAUUUCGUCACGGCGUACUUCCCGGGGGAACCUUUCUGCGGCACGUCCGUAUUCAAAGUGACCUAGUGGGCGGGGUCUUGCUUUUUUUCGUUCUUUAAUGUUCCAUAGCCGAUAGACCGCUAAUCGUGGACCGAGUUAUCGAUACAGCGUGGGCUCAUUCUUAUGGGCUGCCGUUGGCUCCGGUCCGGGUAGCGUGUCGCCUCACCCGACCGCUAUGCGCCCCGGAUAUCUUGCUUUAUUGCGGGGUUCGGGGGACGUAUAGCCGGACGAGGGUGCCCGAAGACCCUUAGGGCACACCCUGAGGGCUCUGAAGGAGUCUGUGGAUGGUUGGCCGAUGGCUAUCAUUAUCCUAAGACACUCGGGGGCCAGCCCAAGUCGAUAUCCGUGGUUGCUUGCUUGCUGCUUCACUGCACUGGCGGGAGGGCUAAUGUGAUCGACGGACGGUAUCCUCCAACCGAGGUGCGUAUGGUGCAGUGUGGGCCGGCGUUCAGCGUCGCGAAUCCCCACGUCUGCCCCGGACCGCUUCUUGGGCGACUCAGUGGGGGCAAUUGGAUGGCCCGAGGGCACCGCUGGCGGCUUCGGCCCCGGGGGCGCUCCGGGCAGGGCGUUGGGCUCCGGCUCGACCUCCGACCUGUGAACUAUCCUGAUCAUCCCUUCGGGGGUGGGGUGUGACUAGGCGUCGCCGGCCACGUAACGGUGGUGACGGGUGCUAUGACGACCGAACUCUUAAGAUAGUU